UACGUAGGCAGCGAGCGUUGUUCGGAGUUAUUGGGCGUAAAGGGCUCGUAGGCGGUCUGUCGCGUCGGGGAGUGAAAACUCAGGGCUUAACCCUGAGCCUGCUUCCGAUACGGGCAGACUAGAGGUAUGCAGGGGAGAACGGAAUUCCUGGUGUAGCGGUGAAAUGCGCAGAUAUCAGGAGGAACACCGGUGGCGAAGGCGGUUCUCUGGGCAUUACCUGACGUGAGGAGCGAAAGUGUGGGGAGCGAACAGG
rnacentral:rRNA from 1 species